UCUCAGUUCGGAUUGGAGCUGNAACCCGACUCCAUGAAGCUGGAUUCGCUAGUAAUCGCGCAUCAGCCACGGCGCGGUGAAUACGUUCCCGGGCCUUGUACACACCGCCCGUCAAGCCAUGGAAGCCGGGAGUGCCUGAAGUGCGUGAGCGCAAGCAGCGCCCUAAGGUAAAACCGGUGACUGGGGCUAAGUCGUAACAAGGUAGC
rnacentral:rRNA from 1 species